GAAUGGAUAGGGAAGAAGCUGGUUUUGUUAGCUGGGGGGAAUGUAGGAGGCUACCAAGAAGCCUCACGUGAAACGACGCUUCCCAGCUGUGGACUCCUGGGAGACCUUGGAAGCCAGAGCCACAGAUGUAAGAACGGAGCUCCGGUCACAUCGCGUGAGGCAGGCACAGGUUCAGGGCCUGACAAAGCGUACGCUUGACACACACCAAAGGGAGCAGUGUUCUAGGAGGAAUGCGGGCACCUCCCAACACACACAGAUGCCUAUGGGUCUGGAACUCUGUCGCUGAUCUUUGACAUCAAUGGAUCUUUCCUAUAAUCGACAUUUUCAGGCCCAAAGUGUUAGUCUAAUUUAAAAAUUAAAUACACCUCUAAAGUACAGAGUCAAUUCAGAAAACACUACAGAACUGAUAAAUUGAAAUUAGACCUCAGAAGAAUUAGGUCUUUGACUUAUAUUGACAAGCUCUAAUUAGGAACUUACUGCGAACCAAGCUUCUCUAAGUGCUGGACGUACAAGGUCAAACGUACCUGACAUAUUCUCUGAGUCUUAAGGGAUAGCUACUGAUGCUCUAACUGCAAGUGAGGUCAAUCUUGAGAGGAUGCCUUUAUGGAUUCGUUCAUUUAAAAGAAGCAGGAAAAAAAUGGGAGUUUUUUCAGUCGUAAGGAGCAUUGCCACUUGGCUGCUGAGUUAUAGGUCCUUAUCACAGCUGCAGGAAAGUAGGGCAUCGCCAGGGUCCCUGAAGGUGAUUGCCUCUGCUGUUUGACACUGUGUCUUUCCUAUUUGCAACACUGGCCUCAGCUCACAGUGAUCGAGGUGGCAAACUGAUGAAGGACAAAAGAGCACUCUGGGUACUGAUAAUUCAGAAAUGUGGGUGGUGUGGACAUGGAGCUCUGUUUGGGAGGCACAAAGAGAGGCUGAUCUCCAGAGACGAGGCCCAGGCAGGAGGGUGACUGCAGAGCUCCAAGUCUCUUUGGAAGCAUGUAACUAAAAGCAUAAAAGGCAUGUGCCAGCCGGGCGCGGUGGUGCACAC
rnacentral:lncRNA from 1 species